GAAUUGUUCACAAUGGGCGCAAGCCUGAUGACGCAACGCCGCGUGGAGGAUGAAGGUCUUCGGAUUGUAAACUCCUGUUGCCCGGGACGAAUGGCCUCGACCUAAUACGUCGAGGUGUGACGGUACCGGGUGAGGAAGCCCCGGCGAACCCUGUGCCAGCAGCCGCGGUAAUACAGAGGGGGCAAGCGUUGUUCGGAAUUACUGGGCGUAAAGGGCGCGUAGGCGGCCUGCUAAGUCGAACGUGAAAUCCCCGGGCUCAACCCGGGAACUGCGUCCGAUACUGGUUGGCUUGAAUUCGGGAGAGGGAUGCGGAAUUCCAGGUGUAGCGGUGAAAUGCGUAGAUAUCUGGAGGAACACCGGUGGCGAAGGCGGCAUCCUGGACCGGCAUUGACGCUGAGGCGCGAAAGCCAGGGGAGCAAACGGG
rnacentral:rRNA from 1 species